ACUAAAUACUGAUCAUGAAAUAAGUACGUUGUAAUCAGUAUUCCUUACCUCUUGCAUUCAUUUAGCUGUUGGAGGAGUGCACUGAAAAGCUGAAUCUGAACAUGGCUGCACGAUGAGUGUUCUUGGCAGACGGCACUGAAGCACUAGAACCUAAAGACAUACCCCACGAUGCCGACGUUUAUAUUUCAGCUGGAGAGACCUUUUUAGAUCCAUUCAAAAAAUCAAAGACCAUCUGUCAUUAAUGAAGAAAGUAACUUGGGCAGUGAAUGGCCUGGAUCUUCGUAAUGAUGUCAAGCAAAGAAAAUCAAGAUUGUCAUUGCCUACCGCAUGAAGAAAAUUUUAGAGAAAACCUCAAUCAGAAUUUUAACGUUUAAGAACUGCAUAGGGCAGGAUGGCUAUGACAUUGUUGCAUCGUAGAAUCAAAUUGAAAAGAUGAUUGCACUCUGAAGAUGAAUUUUAGUUCACCAUCAAGAUACUCGUAUAAUGAACGUGGAGAAAAAUUGACGAUACCAUAAGUGUUCCUCUGCUUGACAAAUUCCUGCAAAAUUCCAUCACACCUUUGCGUGGACCUAUUUGGGUCUCUAAGAGAGAAGGUUUCAGCCCCUCAGGAGCAAAGAUGUAUAUCCAAGGAGUUCUGUUGGCCUUGCAUCAGCGAUUAAAGCCUGCAAACUGUUGCAAACAGCGGAGUCCUACAUCUUUGUCCAAUGCAUGUGCCACUCAUAUUUGAUUAAGCCUCACUGACCACAAACCAAUUUGCCUUUUGAGGAUGUGAUGUGCUGAGUGCCUCCUGCAUAAUCAGGUAAAAUCAAAUGGAACAGGGGUUCUUUGGUGAUGACUGUGAGGGAAAGGGAA
rnacentral:lncRNA from 1 species